rnacentral:rRNA from 1 species
GACGAACGCUGGCGGCGUGCUUAACACAUGCAAGUCGAACGGAAAGGCCCUGCUUUUGUGGGGUGCUCGAGUGGCGAACGGGUGAGUAACACGUGAGUAACCUGCCCUUGACUUUGGGAUAACUUCAGGAAACUGGGGCUAAUACAGGAUAGGAGCUCCUGCUGCAUGGUGGGGGUUGGAAAGUUUCGGCGGUUGGGGAUGGACUCGCGGCUUAUCAGCUUGUUGGUGGGGUAGUGGCUUACCAAGGCUUUGACGGGUAGCCGGCCUGAGAGGGUGACCGGCCACAUUGGGACUGAGAUACGGCCCAGACUCCUACGGUAGGCAGCAGUGGGGAAUAUUGCACAAUGGGCGGAAGCCUGAUGCAGCAACGCCGCGUGCGGGAUGACGGCCUUCGGGUUGUAAACCGCUUUCGCCUGUGACGAAGCGUGAGUGACGGUAAUGGGUAAAGAAGCACCGGCUAACUACGUG